rnacentral:rRNA from 1 species
GGAUUAGAUACCCUGGUAGUCCACGCCCUAAACGAUGUACACUAGUUGUUGCGAUGCUAGACAUUGCAGUAAUGCAGUUAACACAUUAAGUGUACCGCCUGGGGAGUACGGUCGCAAGAUUAAAACUCAAAGGAAUAGACGGGGACCCGCACAAGCGGUGGAGCAUGUGGUUUAAUUCGACGAUACGCGAAGAACCUUACCUGGACUUGACAUAGUAAGAACUUUCAAGAGAUUGAUUGGUGUCUGCUUGCAGAAACUUAUAUACAGGUGCUGCACGGCUGUCGUCAGCUCGUGCCG